rnacentral:rRNA from 1 species
ACACGGUCCAGACUCCUACGGGAGGCAGCAGUGGGGAAUAUUGGACAAUGGGCGAAAGCCUGAUCCAGCCAUGCCGCGUGUGUGAAGAAGGUCUUCGGAUUGUAAAGCACUUUAAGUUGGGAGGAAGGGCAGUAAAUUAAUACUUUGCUGUUUUGACGUUACCGACAGAAUAAGCACCGGCUAACUCUGUGCCAGCAGCCGCGGUAAUACAGAGGGUGCAAGCGUUAAUCGGAAUUACUGGGCGUAAAGCGCGCGUAGGUGGUUGUUAAGUUGGAUGUGAAAGCCCCGGGCUCAACCUGGGAACUGCAUUCAAAACUGACGAGCUAGAGUAUGGUAGAGGGUGGUGGAAUUUCCUGUGUAGCGGUGAAAUGCGUANAUAUAGGAAGGAACACCAGUGGCGAAGGCGACCACCUGGACUGAUACUGACACUGAAGUGCGAAAGCGUGGGGAGCAAACA